rnacentral:lncRNA from 1 species
GAGUCUGCCAAAGAAAACCAAUCAAAUGAUAGCAUGGCGUCAACAUCAACUUUAGCUAGUUUAUCAGCAUGAUACAGUACUGUAUGUAGAUGGUGGAAAUUAAGAGUACUUUACUAAAAUACAACAUAAAGUACAACUUAUUCUUCUUUUAUUAGCUUCCAAAGGCUUCCAUUAGGCAUAUUAGUCUUAAACAAGGCAAAUGAUGUAGUACAGAGUUGCUAGCUGCUAAACCGUAGCGGCUAGUCCUGUAUGCUAACGUCGGCUAGAAUCGGCUGAGCUCGUCGUCCUGAGGAACACGCGUGGACGGGGCAGACUGUUCAGCCCAGAAAAAACCUCCAUAGGAUUAAAGGCCAGAGGAAAUGACCUGCUUACUGAUCACAUCACCCUUCUGACAGACCCGGGAUCAGCCGUCUACUUCAUACAGACUCCACAGAGACCUGGAGCAAAGAAGUGCAUGUUGAGAACGAGCGUGGAGACGUGAAGUGGAGCCGGCGUCAGUCUGUCACUGUCAGCUGGGUCACCAGAGACCUGCGCCCUGCGAGGUUUGACGUGAGGGGGUCGAGGGGUUGCUCCUUUCUCAUCUCCAGCAGGAGGAGGCGUCGUGUCAGAGCAACCUCUGCACACGUGGUCACAUGUCAGAGAGAAGUUUUAUUUGUAUAUUAAAUAUAGGGACAGUAAAACGCCACUAGAGGGAGCCAGAGUAGCUCUGACGUUCACUCCUUCCCACCAUGUCUACAUUCUCCACAUAUACUGAGUCCUGCCUCUGCACCAGCUGCACUCCGUUUCCACACAGACAUUCCUGUAACGACUGACUGUGGAUCGCUUUACUCACCCACAUAGCAGCGACAGGCUCGCAGCAGCCUGUGGCUUCAUCAUCAGCGUGUCAGGCAUCAGGCAUGUGGUGCUACAGCUAAUACUGCUCCUGGAUAUUUUAAAG